CAGCCUGCCCAGUGACAAGUUCAACGGCCACGGUAUCCUAACCGUGCGAAGGUAGCAUAAUCACUUGUUCUUUAAAUGGGGACUCGUAUCAACGGCACCACGAGGGUUAUACUGUCUCCUUUUUCUAAUCAGUGAAAUUAAUCUCCCCGUGAAGAAGCGGGGAUACCCCUAUAAGACGAGAAGACCCCAUGGAGCUUCAAACCCAACUACACCCCUAGUUUCUAUAACUCUCAACCCCCAGGGCCCUGUACAGUUGGUUUUAGGUUGGGGCGACCACGGAGUACAACAAAACCUCCACAAUGAAUGGGACCACCCCCCAUCUAAGAGCUACAACCCUAAGAAUUAGAACACUAACAUAAAAUGAUCCAUUAUUUGAUCAAUGAACCAAGUUACCCUGGGGAUAACAGCGCAAUCCAUUUCAAGAGCCCCUAUCGACAAAUGGGUUUACGACCUCGAUGUUGGAUCAGGGUGUCCUAGUGGUGCAGCAGCUACUGACGGUUCGUUUGUUCAACGAUUAAAACCCU
rnacentral:rRNA from 1 species